UACCAGCUCUCCGAGUGGUAGGGAUGAUUAUUGGGCUUAAAGCGUCCGUAGCCGGCUUAGCAAGUCUCCUAUUAAAUUCAGCGACCUAAUCGUUGAGCCGCGGGAGACACUACUAGGCUAGGAGGCGGGAGAGGCCGACGGUAUUCUCGGGGUAGGGGUGAAAUCCUAUAAUCCCGGGAGGACCACCAGUGGCGAAGGCUGUCGGCUAGAACGCGCUCGACGGUGAGGGACGAAAGCUGGGGGAGCGAACCGGAUUAGAUACCCGGGUAGUCCCAGCUGUAAACGGUGCGGGCUAGGUGUUGGGGUGGCUACGAGCCACUUCAGUGCCGCAGGGAAGCCAUUAAGCCCGCCGCCUGGGGAGUACGGCCGCAAGGCUGAAACUUAAAGGAAUUGGCGGGGAGCACCACAAGGCGUGAAGCUUGCGGUUC
rnacentral:rRNA from 1 species